rnacentral:rRNA from 1 species
GAUGAACGCUGGCGGCGUGCCUAAUACAUGCAAGUCGAGCGAACGGACGAGAAGCUUGCUUCUCUGAUGUUAGCGGCGGACGGGUGAGUAACACGUGGAUAACCUACCUAUAAGACUGGGAUAACUUCGGGAAACCGGAGCUAAUACCGGAUAAUAUUUUGAACCGCAUGGUUCAAAAGUGAAAGACGGUCUUGCUGUCACUUAUAGAUGGAUCCGCGCUGCAUUAGCUAGUUGGUAAGGUAACGGCUUACCAAGGCAACGAUGCAUAGCCGACCUGGGAGGGGGGUGGGCGAGCUGAGAAGGGAACCAGGGACAGGGAACCGGCGGGGGGAACAAGAAGGAAAUCUUAGGCAGAGGGGGAAGAGAUAACAGAACGGCCGGAGGUGGUAAGCAGAGGUUUUGGGAGCGAAAAACUGUUUUAUGGGGAAAAAACAGAGUGUAAGUUAACUGUCAAGGCAGUGACGGUAACAAACAAAAAGGCACCGGCAAAGUCGGGG